GACGAACGCUGGCGGCGUGCUUAACACAUGCAAGUCGAACGAUGAAGCCUAGCUUGCUAGGUGGAUUAGUGGCGAACGGGUGAGUAAUACGUGAGUAACCUACCUUUAACUCUGGGAUAAGCCUGGGAAACUGGGUCUAAUACCGGAUACGACCAAUCUCCGCAUGGGGUGUUGGUGGAAAGCGUUAUGUAGUGGUUAUAGAUGGGCUCACGGCCUAUCAGCUUGUUGGUGAGGUAACGGCUCGCCAAGGCGACGACGGGUAGCCGGCCUGAGGGGGUGACCGGCCACACUGGGACUGAGACACGGCCCAGACUCCUACGGGAGGCAGCAGUGGGGAAUAUUGCACAAUGGGCGCAAGCCUGAUGCAGCGACGCCGCGUGAGGGAUGACGGCCUUCGGGUUGUAAACCUCUGUUAGCAGGGAUGAAGAGAAAUUGACGGUACCUGCAGAGAAAGCGCCGGCUAACUACGUG
rnacentral:rRNA from 1 species